rnacentral:rRNA from 1 species
GACGAGGGGUCCUAGCGUUGUUCGGAAUCACUGGGCGUAAAGCGUAUGUAGGCGGGUUUCUAAGUCAGGUGUGAAAUCCCACGGCUCAACCGUGGAAUUGCAUUUGAAACUGGAAGUCUUGAGUGUGGGAGAGAUUGGUAGAAUACCUGGUGUAGUGGUGAAAUACGUAGAUAUCAGGUGGAAUACCGGUGGCGAAGGCGGCCAAUUGGCCCAACACUGACGCUGAGGAGCGAAAGCGUGGGGAGCGAACAGG